rnacentral:rRNA from 1 species
UACGUAGGGUGCAAGCAUUGAUCGGAAUUACUGGGCGUAAAUGGCGCGUAGGCGGCUUAGAAAGUCAGAUGUGAAAUUCCGGGGCUCAACCCCGGAGCUGCCUUUGAAACUUCUAAACUUGAGUACAGUUAGGGUAAACGGAAUUCCAUGUGUAGCGGUGAAAUGCGUAGAUAUGAGGAAGAACACCGGUGGUGAAGACGGUUUACUGGGCUGAAACUGACGCUGAGGCGCGAAAGCAUGGGGAGCAAACAGG